AUGACAGCCAGAUCUGUAGACCGGAUGAUGAACCGGAAAAUUGAUAGCCGGGAGGAGGAGCAGAUGAUUGGAGUUGGAGGGGUGCGUAAGCGGCGGCAAGGGCAGGCGAGCUACUCUGAACGCACCGGCAAAAAGCUGGAGAAGCAGAAGCACCUCUAUCUGCUGCUGGAUGACUGGAGCAAAGGCUUCACCGUUCACAAGAUUGACAAGAACAAUAACUACUCUAACCUCAGGGAGCCUGGUGUUCUCCGGUUAAUUGCACCUGUACCUCGUCGUUGCAUGACCUUCGCUGCCAUGGGCAGCAACAUCUUCGUCGCCACCAACCCACGCUGUGGACAAACCCCCAGCCUCGUUUACGACACCGAGGCGGCCGGGCUGGCCGUCGGUCCUCCCCUCCCGGAACCACUGCUGGGUCACCAUAGGUGUGUUGCCACCACCGAUGUGCUGUACGCAUUCCCAUGUUUCGUCCAGAACACGCAGCAGGACUUCUUUCAGGCCAUGUCGUGGGCACCAACGGACAACGACGAUCCGUGGGCUCCAAGGCCAACCAUGGACUGGCGCUGA
rnacentral:rRNA from 1 species